rnacentral:piRNA from 1 species
GAAGAGCGAUUUAUUUGGUUA